rnacentral:misc_RNA from 1 species
GUGAAUCAUCGAAUUUUUGAACGCAAAUUGCACUCUCUGGUAUUCCGGGGGUUAGGCCUGUUUGAGGUUCGGUUUAAAUUAAAAAUCGAGGUUUUGCUUUUUUUUGUACCGCAUCGGAAUUGGGUUUUCCUUGUCCUUUGGAUUUUUUAAGUGCCCUAAAUUUGAUACUUUUUCCUUCUCAAACUU